UAUUGCGCAAUGGGGGCAACCCUGACGCAGCCAUGCCGCGUGAAUGAAGAAGGCCUUCGGGUUGUAAAGUUCUUUCGGUAGCGAGGAAGGCAUUUAGUUUAAUAGACUAGGUGAUUGACGUUAACUACAGAAGAAGCACCGGCUAACUCCGUGCCAGCAGCCGCGGUAAUACGGAGGGUGCGAGCGUUAAUUGGAAUAACUGGGCGUAAAGGGCACGCAGGCGGUGACUUAAGUGAGGUGUGAAAGCCCCGGGCUUAACCUGGGAAUUGCAUUUCAUACUGGGUCGCUAGAGUACUUUAGGGAGGGGUAGAAUUCCACGUGUAGCGGUGAAAUGCGUAGAGAUGUGGAGGAAUACCGAAGGCGAAGGCAGCCCCUUGGGAAUGUACUGACGCUCAUGUGCGAAAGCGUGGGGAGCAAACAGG
rnacentral:rRNA from 1 species